rnacentral:rRNA from 1 species
CCCGCCUAACACAUGCAAGUCCAGCGCUACCUUCCGGUGGAGCGGCGUAGGGGUUAGUAACGCGUGGGAAUAUACUCUGUUCUAAAGAAUACCCACUGUAAACAGUGAGUAAUACCUUCUACGCCCUUCGGGGGAAAGAUUUAUCGAAAUUGGAUUACCCCGCGUUAGAUUAUAUUUUUGGUGGGGUAAUGGCCUACCAAGUCUUCUAUCUAUAGCUGGU